rnacentral:lncRNA from 1 species
UUGUGAGCCAAUGGGCAACAUUUGCUUUUCUUCUUAUCAUUAUCAUAUAUAUUACUUGAAGAUGGUAUGUGAAAGUUUUCUCUGCUAAUGAAUGUGGUUUCUUGCAGGGGGCAGGUGGUGGUGCUGGUUGCUUUCUGAGAGCUACAGCCAUUGUUGCGAUUCCAGGAGAGGGGGGUAUGAUACAUCCUCUGAGCAGCAUGUGAGAGGUUUAGAAGGUGCGCGUGGCGUCAGUCUCAACAGCUGACGCCCAGCAGCGCCCAUCAGGGGAGGCGUUAUAGCUGUGCAGAGCCAGUGACAACGGGGGGAGAAAAUGGAGCUUCAGUGGAGGCCUGUGGGAGCGGGAGACCCAGACACCAGUGCAAGGGUGUGCGGACCUGCGGUAGCCUGACCAGAACCGGGGCCGGUGGCCAGCGGCGUUGUUCGUGGCAGGUUUCAUCGUCUUCCUUUUGAAGACCGUCUUGUUAUGUUAGUUGUUGGGUUAAUAAAUACUUUAAGUUAACUUGGAAGCG